rnacentral:lncRNA from 1 species
UAUAAAUAAUCCUAUCAAUUUUUAUAAUUAUAAAAAUAAUUUUUUCAAAAAAAAUAAUUAUAAAAAUAGACCUCUGAAUGCGGUGAAUGAUUCACCGCAUUUAUAACUCCUCAUUAGGAGUAGAAAAAGAAUAAAAACUUCACCGCUUUUACCACUUUUAUCAUUGUACAAAUAUAUAAAAAAAAAAAAGGUGAGGAAAAAAAAACGGUGAAUAAUUCACCACUUCUAAAGGCGGUAAAUCAUUCACCAUUUUUAUAGGGUCAUAUUUAUAAAUAAAAAUUUAACAGACCUAUUUUUAGAAUAAAAUUUUAGGAGA